GCUAGAGUAUGAUAGAGGAAAGUAGAAUUUCUAGUGUAGAGGUGAAAUUCGUAGAUAUUAGAAAGAAUACCAAUUGCGAAGGCAGCUUUCUGGAUCAUUACUGACACUGAGGAACGAAAGCAUGGGUAGCGAAGAGGAUUAGAUACCCUCGUAGUCCAUGCCGUAAACGAUGUGUGUUAGACGUUGGAAAUUUAUUUUCAGUGUCGCAGCGAAAGCGAUAAACACACCGCCUGGGGAGUACGACCGCAAGGUUAAAACUCAAAUGAAUUGACGGGGACCCGCACAAGUAGUGGAGCAUGUGGUUUAAUUCGAAGAUACGCGCAGAACCUUACCAACACUUGACAUGUUCGUCGCGACUCUAAGAGAUUAGAGUUUUCGGUUCGGCCGGACGAAACACAGGUGCUGCAUGGCUGUCGUCAGCUCGUGUCGUGAGAUGUUGGGUUAAGUCCCGCAACGAGCGCAACCCUCACUUUUAGUUGCCAUCAUUAAGUUGGGCACUCUGAAAGAACUGCCAGUGAUAAGCUGGAGGAAGGUGGGGAUGACGUCAAGUCCUCAUGGCCCUUACGUGUUGGGCUACACACGUGCUACAAUGGUAUCUACAACAGGAAGCAAGACUGCGAAGUUAAGCAAAUCCCUAAAAGAUACCUCAGUUCGGAUUGCACUCUGCAACUCGAGUGCAUGAAGCUGGAAUUACUAGUAAUCGUGGAUCAGCGUGCCACGGUGAAUGCGUUCCCGGGUCUUGUACACACCGCCCGUCACACCAUGGGAGUUGGUUCUACCUUAAGGCAAGGUUUUAAACCCUUGACCACGGUAUAGUCAGCGACUGGGGUGAAGUCGUAACAAGGUAAC
rnacentral:rRNA from 1 species